UACGUAGGGUGCAAGCGUUAUCCGGAAUUAUUGGGCGUAAAGAGCUCGUAGGCGGUUUGUCGCGUCUGCUGUGAAAACUGGAGGCUCAACCUCCAGCCUGCAGUGGGUACGGGCAGACUAGAGUCCGGAAGAGGAGAGUGGAAUUCCCGGUGUAGCGGUGGAAUGCGCAGAUAUCAGGAGGAACACCGAUGGCGAAGGCAGAUCUCUGGGCCGUAACUGACGCUGAGGAGCGAAAGCAUGGGGAGCGAACAGG
rnacentral:rRNA from 1 species